GCCCGGGUGGCGGAAUGGUAUACGCGGCGGACCUAAAAUCCUCUGACCGAAGGGUCAUGUGAGUUCGACUCUCACCCCGGGCA
rnacentral:tRNA from 1 species